CCCUUAGAUGUCCUGGGCCGCACGCGCGUUACACUGAUGCAUUCAACGAGCUUAUAACCUUGGCCGAGAGGCCUGGGCAAUCUUGUUAACGUGCAUCGUGAUAGGGAUAGAUUAUUGAAAUUAUUAAUCUUGAACGAGGAAUUCCUAGUAAACGCAGAUCAUCAAUCUGCAUUGAUUACGUCCCUGCCCUUUGUACACACCGCCCGUCGCACCUACCGAUUGGAUGUUUAAGCGAGGUUCUCGAACUGCUAGCGACUUAGCUUCGGUGAGGUCGCAGUGUGGGAAGUGAACCUAGCUUUGGUGUCUAGAGGAAGUAAAAGUCGUAACA
rnacentral:rRNA from 1 species